rnacentral:rRNA from 1 species
UACGGAGGGUCCGAGCGUUAUCCGGAAUUAUUGGGUUUAAAGGGUCCGUAGGCGGGCAGCUAAGUCAGAGGUGAAAGUUUGCAGCUCAACUGUAAAAUUGCCUUUGAUACUGGUUGUCUUGAGUUAUGGUGAAGUUGCCGGAAUAUGUAGUGUAGCGGUGAAAUGCAUAGAUAUUACAUAGAACACCGAUUGCGAAGGCAGGUGACUAACCAUAUACUGACGCUGAUGGACGAAAGCGUGGGGAGCAAAC